rnacentral:hammerhead_ribozyme from 1 species
AUCCAGCUGACGAGUCCCAAAUAGGACGAAACGCGCGUUCACUCUAGGAC